GCGCCGCAGGCAGAGGAUUAGCCUAUAGUCAUCCUUUGCUCUUUAGGGGUUUAAAAUAUGUAAUCUCAGGAUUGUACAGGAAAAUCUCACUUUCCUCUCCUUCGAUUCCCUUUUGUUUAUUUCUUAUACAUGGAAAUUGUCCAAAAGAAUGCAGGAAAAGACAGAGGUGUUGUGUCUGCCAUCAGACCAGCACUCCAGUGGAAAGAGAGACAUCUGGGCAAGCAUCUGUCUUGCCAAGUUCAGUGAAAACUGGGGAAGACCAGAGUUGGGGGACUUCAGAAAUCCAUAGCUCAGAUGCUCCACCUGAUGUCUGUUCUACCCACACCCCAAGAUGGUUCUACGGGAAUGAAUGAGCCUGCUAGUGGGGGCUCAGAAUGAACCAUUCCAGUGAGGAGGAGAGAUUUAAGUCUCACCAUGGAAUGUCCAUCAAAAAUGGCAGGAGACGGGCCGAGAUUGGAGGCAAGACCACUUCCAGACCGUCCAUACUAAAUUUAGACCACUGUCCUUGACUUUCAGGAGGUGAGGCCCAGUGGCAGGCAGGGUAGAUUUUUGCCUUAUGGUUUAAAGCCACCAUUUACUCCCUGGCAAAAUCCUGGACGACAUCAGUGAUUGAGGAACAUUUUGGAUGUUGACAAAACAGGAGGUUUUUUUUUUUUCUUUUUUCUGAACAAACACACGUGCACACACACACAUACAAUUCUACUAGUAAAGCAUGGGACUCCAGUUAAUUUAUACUGAAUGAUGUGAGAAUUAUCAUAGCAGAUCAUUAGCAGAAUAGAAACCCAAGAAGGUGAUAGCACAGCUCACUAUCAGCAUUGCCAGAUGCCAGUGAGUGAUUUGUAACUGGCACAACCAGCUAGCCUAAAAGGGCCAACUCACUUGGGCAGCAUUGCAGUGGUAGAGAGCAGCAAUUAAUGUCAACAAGUUACAAGUUGUGUUUAAUUUGUGAUUAUUGAGGAUUGAUUGUAGAUUCUGUGGAAAGAUCCCGGAAGCCUCAGUGGACACCAGAAUAAUAAUAAUAAUAGGCCAGCGCCGUUGCUCACUAGGCUAAUCCUCCGCCUGCAGUGCCAGCACCCCGGGUUCUAGUCCCAGUCUGGGUGCCUGAUUCUGUCCCGGUCGCUCCUCUUCCAGUCCAGCUCUCUGCUGUGGCCAGGGAGUGCAGUGGAGGAUGGCCCAAGUGCUUGGGCCCUGCACCCGCAUGGGAGACCAAGAGAAGCACCUGGCUCCUGGCUUUGGAUCACUGCGAUGCGCCAGCCGCAGCGCACCGGCCACGGCGACCAUUGGAGGGUGAACCAAUGAUAAAGGAAGACCUUUCUCUCUGUCUCUCUCUGUCUCUCACUGUCCACUCUGCCUGUCAAAAACAAUAAUAAUAUUAAUAAUAAUUACUAAUAAUGGUAAUUGCACAGCUUGCUGUGCUCAGUAGAAAGCACAGGGGAGGAGCACACAGCUAAGCAUGCAGGGGCCUCUGCUGAGUGCAGCGUUGUUCACAGAGCAAUCUCCCUCCAACAGUUUUUGAGAAGAAUUUCUCCAAUACUGCUGGGCCUGAAUCCACGGGCUUCAGUCACGGUGCUGUGAUUUCCAGUGAUCCAGCAUCAACAAUAGCCUAAUAACUUAUACAAAUCAAGUGUUAGGAAUGUCUUAGCAUUUUCCCUUAGCAAAUUAGAGAGGGUUCAAGACUAUCCUUAGUGUGAUGCCAUUACAGCCCCCUAAAAUCCCAUAUACUUGUUUGAGGGACAAGAUGUUUUAAGCAAGGUGGAACUAAAGAAAGGGGGUAGGACAGGGGAAGAAAGAAGGGAAAGGAUCACUCUCCCAGUGUGACCGUGAAGUUGAAGUUGCAGUUUAACUGGCCAUGGGGUGCCCAGGCAUCUGGUGGGACAUGGUUUCUGGAUGCUUCUAGAAGAGAUUUGCAUUUAGAUUGACAGAUGAGUGUCAUCUAACUGGUUUUUUUUUUUAAAGGUUUAUUUAUUUAUUUGAAAGUCAGAGUUACACAAAGAGGAGAGGUAGAGAGAUAGAGAGAGGUCUUCCAUCCGUUGGUUCACUCCCCAAUUGGCUGCAAUGACCGGAGCUGUGCCAAUCCGAAGCCAGGAGCCAGGAGCUUCUUUCAGGUCUCCCACGUGGGUGCAGGGGCCCAAGGAUUUGGGCCAUCUUCUAUUGUUUUUCCAGGCCAUAGCAGAGAGCUGGAUCUGAAGUAGAGCAGCCUGGUCUCGAACUGGCACCCAGUGGGAUGCUGGUGCUUCAGGCCAGGGCGUUAACCCGCUGAGCCACAGCGCAGGCCCGCAUCUAACUGUGAGGGCCUGGGUAGAACUUAAAGGCUGAGGGAAGUGGGACUCGCUGUCUGCCAGACCCCUUGAGCUGCGACGUGGAUCUGGCCCGGCCCCCCCUGCUCCUGGCUCUCGAGACUUCAGACUCAGACUGGAUUCUACACCACUGCUCCCAUUCCUUUCCUGGGUCUCCAGGCUACAGGCAACAGAUUGCGGGGCUUCUUAGCCCAUGUAAUCCUAUGUGCCACUUCUGAAUGGUAAGUCUCAUUUUAUGCACUGUGUGAUAUGAGGAAUCUUCAAAAAAUUCACGGAAACCACGCAUUCUCUUUUAUUUCCAUUUUUCUGUGAACUUCCUAAGCCGAUUUGUUUAUGUUGUGGAUUAAUUCUGCACAAAUGUUUUGAUACACUCUCCUGCAUAUACACAUCCUGUUGUUCUGUUUGUUUCUCUGCCUCGGACUUUAAUGCAGACGUUGGUGACGUGAAGGACCCUGGACUUUCACAGACCCAGUCCUGGCAAGGCAACAUCCAGAGGCCAUCGGCUCUCUGACCAGAGAGGUGGACAUGCUGGCUGCAGCUGGUGUCACCCAGUGGCAGGGAUGUGGCCCCAGGCAGCUCUGUGGCCUGCAGUUCCGGUUCCCAAGCUCUCCUGAAUAUAUUGUGCCUCGUCCAAUGUCCUUGACUUGGUUUUCUGUGCGAUCUGCCAGAGUUAGUUUCUGUUGCUUGUGAUCACAAACUUGAGGAGACAGUGGUCUUACAGAAGAUAAGUUCUUGCUGACUACAAAGGAAGAUGAAAUAAGAAACAAGGGGACAUCCAUUGGCCUCCGUGUUACAAGGACUGGUUCUCUGACUUAGGUUUUUUCUUCUUAAUAUGCAGUUAUUAUGAUUCCAACUUCACUCAUAUAAAUCAAGUCUCAGAGAUUGUUUUUCCUGAAAUCAAUAACCAGGCAUCAGAAUUCAAAUCCAGCUCUAAUUCUUUUGCCUAUGUCAAAGAAACAAGGCUAAAUAACGCUAGCAACUAAAUGAAAAGGCUCAAAUUGAAUCCAAGAAUUGCUCUAGGAUCAAGACACAAUGGUUAUGGUGACACCAUCCAAGCCACAACUGCUGAAGUGAUGCACACAAAGACAGGAGCGAGGUGCAGGAGGUGACACCCAUCUUUUCUUUGUCCUCCUUGCACAGCGACCUCACAAACUGAAGGUCAUUUCCUUCUUUAUUCUAUUUUUAGCAGACAAAUAAUAACUACAUAUAUUAUAGUUGAUAUUUAUGAGGUGUUACAUAGAGUGACUAUAAUAAUAAUGCAUUGCAUUUUUUAAAAAUUGCUUAAAUAGAUUUCAAGUUCUCACGAUGAAAAAGGGAAGGUAAUUAAGAACAGCAAGUGCUCAAGGAGACGGAGGAGCAUGUUAGGGAGAUAAUUAAUCCCCGCCCAAGUCCUCCAGCUGAGAAUUAGUGAGCUCAAAUUGUCCAGGGUAUGAGAGGUGCCUGGAGCACAAAGAGGGUGUCAGAAGGAUUCUUUAGGAACUCCUAAUCGACAGGUUAGAAAUAAAAUUAUUCAUUUAGCACUUAAAAAUUGAUUUUACUCUUAACUAUUGCUCAAAAUGAGUGUUGUUACUUUAAGGUUUCAAAAAAUCUGAACAACAAACUAUGCACUGCUUUAUAAAAGAAGAAAUAUAGUUUGUGCAAAAAGUGUGAAUGGAAGGAAUGAGUAUUGUAUCCUUUCUGGCCUCCUGGAGAAAACCUGACUGUUGGCCUCGGGCUGUGCUGAGCCAACUGGCAGGCCACAGGAUGUAAGACUCAGAGAGCUAUACAGGAAGGUAUACGGUCAGUCCUGUAUGUGCAAGGUUCUGCACCUGUGGAUGGAUUUAACACGGAAAACAUUUGAAAAACAUUGUGCGCUUACUGAACAGGUACAGACUUUUGUCCUUGUCAUUAUUCCCUAAACAAAGCAUUAAACCACUACUGAUGUGACAUUGACAAUGCAAUAGAUAUUACAAUGCAGUGCAGAGAGGAUUGCAAAUAUGGCCAAGGAUGUGUGCAGGUUCUAUGCAAAUACUAUGGCACUUAAUGUAAGGGACUUGAUCAUGUACAGAUUUUGGUAGCUGUGAGGGGUCUUGGAACAAAUCCCCCCCCCCACCCAGAUCCCAAAGGACAACUCUCCUUAGAGAAGUGCCACUCUCCUCUCUUCCAUUUUUCGCAUCCCUGUCUUUCAAACAUUUUCCUGCCCCAUCCUCCACAGGUCACCAUUUUGUGUGUUUUUUUGUUUUUUUUGUUUUUUUUGUUUUUUUUAAGGAAAUUAUCCUAGGGCCAGCACCGUGGCUUAGCAGGUAAAGCUACCACCUGUGGUGCUGGCAUCCCAUAUGGGCGCCAGUUAGAGACCCGGAUGCUGCAUCUCCAAUCCAGCUCUCUGCUGUGACCUGGGAAAACAGUAGAAGAUGGCUAAAAUCCUCAGACCACUGUACCCACGUGGAGGAAGCUCCCGGCUCCUGGCUUCAGAUUGGCAAGGCUCUGGCCAUUGCAGCCAUUUGGGGAGUGAACAGCAGAUGGAAGGGCUCUCUCUCUGCCUCAUAUGACUCUCUGUAACUCUGCCUUUCAAAAUAAAAAAAUAAAUCUUUUUUUAAAGAUUAUCCUCCGCCUUCCUUUAUUUUUGUACAAAUUAGAAUUUGCAUGCAUAUUUUUCUUAUAACCCCCUUCCUUUCUUCCUGAAAUAUUCCCAUGAUAUAUGCCCUUGUGCACUUUGCUUUUUCACCUAAUUAUUCCUUAUCAGUUUAUGGAGAUAUUUCUAGUUCUUUAGUUUAGUCGUAGUUUAUUCAACCAUCCUCUUACGUGUGGGCAUUUAGAUCGUUUACAAUAUUUUGCAAUUACAAACAGUGCUAUAAUGAAUAAUCUUGUGCCAUUGCCUGUUUUUGUAAUGGUAGACAUAUCUCCAGGUUAUACUGUGAUCAGAAGAUUUGUUUCCCUUCCAAAUGCAUGUGUUUAAAUCCUGAUCUCUAAAGUAAUGGUGUUAAGAGGAGGGAUUUGGGGGAGGUGAACAUGUCAGGAGAGAGAGCCCUCAUAAAUGGGGUUGGAAUCUUAUAAAACAGCCCCAAAAGUCUUUUGUGCCUCCUAGCACGUGAGGAGGAAGUGCCAGCAUGAGCCAAAACGUGGGCCCUCAUCUGACACUGGAUCUGCCAGCGCCUUGAUCCUGCAAGAAAUGAAGUUCUGUUGUUUAGAAACCACCUAGAUUAUGGAACUUUGUCACAGAAGCCCACUACAUCCUGUAACUGGCUAUUGUGUGUGUAUAUGAAGGCUAGUGACAUUGUUUUAUAAAGAUUUUUAGAAUUUAUUCAUUUGAAAGGCAGUUACAGAGAGAAGCAGAAAGAGACAGAGACAGAUCUUCUACCCACUAGUUCACUCCCCAAAUGAUCACAAUUGCUGGGGCUGGGCCAGGCCAAAGCCCGGAGCCUGGAGCUUCCUCCAGGUCUCCUAUCUGGGUGCAGUGCUCUCUUCUGCUGCCUUCCCAGGUACUUUAGCAGGGAGCUGGAUCAGAAGUGCAGCAGCCAGGAGACAAACCAGCACCCACAUAGGAUGCCAGCAUUGCAGCAUUGCAGGCAGCAGUGUAACCUGCUAUACCACAAUGCAGGCCUCAGCUGGUGACUUUUGUAUAUCAACUGGAUAUCCUACUAUGUCUCUGAAGUUAAUUUGAAUUCCUGCAAUGUUCUAACAUUUUCCACAUAAAACUUUUUAAAUCCAUGUAUAUUUUUCAUAAUACACAUUUUUCCCAUAUUAUGACAUUAAAAGUUUUUACACCAUGAAUGUAUUUGCCCCAAAAUAAAUUCAUACUUUUAAUUCUAUUUUCCCACAAAUUUUUUGAAGUACCCUCAUAUGUCAUUUUAUUAUCUGCAUAUAGUGAUAGUCCUUUCUCUUUUAACCUGUCCUGCGCCUCUACUCGAUUUCUCUGGUAUAACUGGCUGCAUGAUAACUCUACCAUAGUAUUACGGGGGGUGGAGGUGGUGGGUAUUCUUGUUCCACUCCUGAUAUUGGAGUCCCCCCAUCACAUCAUACACUGGAUUGAAAACCAAGGGGCAUGUGUGUGUGUCCAAAUGUGUACUCAUCAUGUGGAGGAAGCAUUCCUCAAUUCCUGCUUUUAUUGCAAUGGAUUUUGAGUUUUGUCACAGGUUUUUUUUUUUUUUUCAGUACUUAAGGGGAUAAUCAUGUAAUUAGUUGUAUUAAGUGCCAUGACUAGUGUGAUAUUAAUGCAUUUCCUAUUAUUAAGCAAAUUUGUACGAUUAGAAGAAAUUUCCCUUAAACAUGUUGUGUUUCUUAAGUGGCAUCGGAUUCUCCUUGUGAAUAUUUACUUAGUAUUUUUCAUCAAUACUCAAGAUCCGACUCCGUAGUUUCCUUUUUACGUACUCUCCUUCCUUGCCUUUCUUCUGGCUCCGUUAUUCCUUCUCUGACCAUCUUUGUCUUCUUCUUGCUUCACUCUUAUUCUUCCUACCUUUCUUUUGGUUAUUAAAUUUGCAUGUGGCUCUAUUCUCCUUCAAGCACUUUGUAACUUAUUCUUCAUUUCUUGGAUAUUUCUCUUUCACUCGUGUCUUUCCCGAGUUCAGUCAUCUCUGGUUUUACUUCUUCCAUGUUUUUAUCCAUCUCUGUUGAUAGUCUUAUAUAUUUCUAACACAAGGGUUUUUUUCCCUUGUUCUCAAAUGCCUGAAGUCCCUCCCCACAGAGCAUGCUGUGCUCUGCCUGGACACUGUUAUGAUGUGGUCACUUGUGGGCUGCGCUUGGUUGUCUCGCUGACAGCUUUAAUGACCUUGGUCCCCACUGCCAGCUCCCUUUUGUGACCUCCCUGGAGCCUGUCCUCCUUGCCUUUACUCACCCCAGAGCUGGUCAGGGCAGGCUCAGCCAGCGUGGGGGAGAUCUUCCGGUGGAACAUGCUGCUUUCUCUCUUGAGGCACAGUGACGUUAAACUUUUGGCAUUCUCUUUCCUCGUGCUAUGCUAGAGGCAUGGUUUUAUGUCAAUUUAGAUCUCCUUUCUUGUUGGUCUUAAUCAUUCAGGAACAACAGAGGGAGGCAGAGCUAGGCAGCUCUUACUAUUUUUACUACACACAAGUCAUCAAUUACAGUUGUUUAAAAGUUCUUUAAAUAAAAAGAUUUAUUUGUUUAUUGGAGAGGCAGAGUUACAGAGAGACAGAGGGAGAAACAGUAAGAGAGGUCUUCCGUCCACUGGCUCACUCUUCAAAUGGCCACGAAGGCCAAAGCUGGGCCUAUCUGAAGCCAGAAGCUUCUUCCAGGUCUCCCACAUGGGUGCAGGGGCCCAAGGACUUGGGUCAUCUUCUACUGCUUUCCCAGGCCAUAGCAGAGAGCUGGAGUGGAAUUGGAGCAGCCGAGACUCAACCAGCGUCCAUAUGGGAUACAGAGGCUGCAGACAGCUGAUGAACCUACCACGCUUCAACUGACUGGAUCAUCUAAGUGCUUUCAUUUAUUUUCCCCUUGAUAAUGGGUCAAAGGAGCUUGCCUCUUCACUGUCUGGUUACUCUUGUUUGCAGGUCGGAUGUGGUGUUUAAGGGACCGUAAAAAGCCCAGACGUCAUUAUAUUCUACAGAAGAAAUUUCUCUUGCAGUGAACUGAAUUGCAUCCUCCCAAAUGUAUAUGUUGAAGUCGUAUCUCCCAAUGUGACUGUACUUGGAGAUGAAGACUCUAAGCAUGUGCCAGGCAAAGUCAUGUGAGGGCACAGUGAACAGGCAGCCAGGAAGCCAGUCGGGUCAGAAUCCUGAUCCUGGACCACUACUCUAUCUUGAUCAUGGACAAGCCAACCUCCAGGAGCGUGAAGGACAAGCUGUGGCUGUUUAAGCAUCACGGCAGCCCGAGCACGUGCGGGGUUUCAUCACUUCAGCGCAGUCAGGACUUGAGCUGGGACAGUUCGGGGAAAGUGGCAGGCGAUACCCCUCUGCCUUUCGGAAGUUAAAGACUGACUUUGCAGCCAUAGAAUCCGCCUGCAGAGUCCUUGCACGUGGGUCGAGCCCAAGCAUCAGUGCAUCCGGGAGCUCACGCCUACCCUGAGAUGAAAAUUGCCGCCAAUCGUCACAUCACCUCGGAAUUACCGCCUCUCUCCGGAAGUUUACUUCCCUUUAUCUUCAUGGCUUUCACAGCUCCCAGAUGCCUUUGAAAGUGACUUUGUAGUAUCUUCCACUUGCUUGAGGAAGCGUAUUGACCUAUCACAUCCUGCUCAGAAGCAGAAAUCAUUUUGUAUGUAAUUUUUAAUCUGGCCUCCCAAAAGGAUCAAACAGAAUGUACCAAGCUUGCCAAGAUGAAUGAAUGAAUGAAUAAAUGAUUUUGGCCAGGUCUGGCUGCUUUGCUGUCUUUACAGGGCCAAGUUUGUCACUCUGUUGACAAAGUGACAAAGGAGACAAGGUUAUUUUGGUGAUACAGCAUAAGUUCUGUGCCCCAAAUUCAGGAAUUCAUGGCAAGGGACAUAUUAUUGGAGCACAAACCAAUCUGAUUCAGUCUAAAGUCUGGCCUCUCAGCCUUUAGUCUCAUCAAUUCUUGCUUUUCAGUUUCUCCUGUGCCGCCCCAAGAUGGAAAAGGGCAGGUGAGACAUUUUCUUGCUAUGUUCCGCUUUAUGUUCCCAGUCAGACUCGGCCAUUUUAUCGCCAGCAUCCAACACCUGUAACAGGUACAAGUCACGUGAAUGGAUGCAUGAAUGCCCUUGAUUAAAAGCCUACAAUAGAAGUAAAAGAAGACUUUGGUGGGAGUUGUGAUUGGCAGUAAGAAACACUGAUGCGCAGCGUGACUUUCAGAUACCUGAGAAGAACUUUAGUAAUAACUUUCAUCUAAGAGAAACAGAACCUUAGGAAUAUGUUCCAUUUUAUAAUAAAAUCAUUAUCAUUUUUGAGAAUACAUUAGCCUAAAUUCACUCAAAUAAGAUAAAAUCCUGUCCAUUUAAGGAAAAGGAACUCCACAGAAAAUAAUCCACAGGCAAAACCUCAUAAUAUACAUAAGUUUGGAAAUAUUUGCUAACUAUUGUUAUCGACCACUGGGACCCUGGCAGUGGAACUUGGUCAAUAGUUACAUUUGCACCCAUCAACACAAGGAGAUUGCACAAAUUGAAUGGACCAAGGACAGAAGUGAUCUUGGGAGAAACUAGAGUUAACUUGUAUAUAAUUUAUCACCGGGCUACUUAAUUUUCUUCUCCCGUGGAGAAUAUCAUUCAAUAAGAUCUUUUUUUUUUCUUUUUGACAGGCAGAGUGGACAGUGAGAGAGAAAGACAGAGAGAAAGGUCUUCCUUUGCCGUUGGUUCACCCUCCAAUGGCCGCCGCGGCUGGCGCACUGCGGCCAACGCACCGCGCUGAUCCGAUGGCAGGAGCCAGGUACUUCUCCUGGUCUCCCAUGGAGUGCAGGGCCCAAGCGCUUGGGCCAUCCUCCACUGCACUCCCUGGCCACAGCAGAGAGCUGGCCUGGAAGAGGGGCAACCGGGACAGAAUCCGGCGCCCCGACCGGGACUAGAACCCGGUGUGCCAGCGCCGCAAGGCGGAGGAUUAACCUAGUGAGCCGCGGCGCCGGCCUCAAUAAGAUCUUUAAGUAAAAGUGACAUGUUUCAGAAUGGCAGAUGUCCUAACAGCACUCUGGCCUCAGAAUCAGCCCUUAAGGUAUUCGGAUCCAGCUAAAAAGCCCAUGAGAGUAUUUCAGGCAUGGAAAGCCAAGACACUCUGGCAAAAAAAAAUGACCUAAAUGAAAGAUCUCUGCAAGUGAGAUCCCAGUGGAAAGUACAGCCAUCAAAGAAGGAGGUAGCUUUCUCUGAAGGGAGGAGAGAACUUCCACUUUGACUAUGAUCCUGUCUGAAUAAGAUCUGAGUUGGCGAACUCAAAAGGCUUCCAUAGCCUUGGCAAUUCAUGACAAGAGCCUAGGGUGAUUACUGACACCAUAAACAAGAGUGUCAAUUGUUAAAUCAACAACAGGAGUCACUGUGCACUUAAUCCCCAUGUAGGAUCUCUGUCCUUAAUGUGUUGUACUAUGUGAAGUAACGGUCUAACUACUUCUCAAACAGUACUUUAUACUUUGUGUUUCUGUGUGGGUGCAAACUGUUGAAAUCUUUACUUAGUAUAUACUAAAUUGAUCUUCUAUAUAUAAAGAUAAUUGAAAAUGAAUUUUGAUGUG